rnacentral:rRNA from 1 species
CGGGAAUGGAAAGACCGGUACAAGCGAGGUAGGAGAAGAGUUGGCAAAUCCGCUCUUUAAUCUGAAGACGUGAUGUGGACUGAAAAUAAGUAGGGAAGCACGUGAGCUGACUGUCAAGAAAAGCCGCUAUUGUUUGCAGGAUACCCGUACCGUAAACCGACACAGGUGGAUGAGGAGAGAAUCCUAAGGCCGACGGGAGAAGCAUUGUUAAGGAACUCGGCAAAAUGACUCCGUAACUUCGGGAGAAGGAGUGCCAGUAAGAUGGCCGCAGAGAAUUGGCCCAAGCAACUGUUUAGCAAAAACACAGGUCUAUGCAAAACCGAAAGGUGAGGUAUAUGGGCUAACGCCUGCCCGGUGCUGGAAGGUUAAGGGGAGAGGUUAGCGCAAGCGAAGCUUUGAACUUAAGCCCCAGUAAACGGCGGCCGUAACUAUAACGGUCCUAAGGUAGCGAAAUUCCUUGUCGGGUAAGUUCCGACCCGCACGAAAGGCGUAAUGAUUUGGGCACUGUCUCAACAAUGCACCCGGUGAAAUUGAAAUACCAGUGAAGAUGCUGGUUACCUGCGCCAGGACGGAAAGACCCCAUGGAGCUUUACUCCAGCUUGAUACUGGGAUUCGGUAUUGCAUGUACAGGAUAGGUGGGAGGCUAGGAAAUGGUAACGCCAGUUGCCAUGGAGCCAAUGUUGGGAUACCACCCUUGCAGUACUGGGUUUCUAACCAGCAGCCGUGAUCCGGCUGGGGGACAAUGUCAGGUGGGGAGUUUGACUGGGGCGGUCGCCUCCGAAAGGGUAUCGGAGGCGCUCAAAGGUUCCCUCAGAAUGGUUGGAAACCAUUCGAAGAGUGCAAAGGCAGAAGGGAGCUUGACUGCGACACCGACGGGUGGAGCAGGUACGAAAGUAGGACUUAGUGAUCCGGUGGUAUAAAGUGGGAUUCCAUCGCUCAACGGAUAAAAGCUACCCUGGGAUAACAUGCUUAUCACUCCCAAGAGUUCACAUCGACGGAGUGGUUUGGCACCUCGAUGUCGGCUCAUCGCAUCCUGGGGCUGAAGUAGGUCCCAAGGGUUGGGCUGUUCGCCCAUUAAAGCGGUACGCGAGCUGGGUUCAGAACGUCGUGAGACAGUUCGGUCCCUAUCCGGCGUGGGCGUAAGAUAUUUGAGAGGAGCUGUCCUUAGUACGAGAGGACCGGGAUGGACUGGCCGCUGGUGUAUCUGUUGUCUUACCAAAGGCAUAGCAGAGUAGCCAAGCCGGGAAGGGAUAAACGCUGAAGGCAUCUAAGCGUGAAGCCCCCCUCAAGAUGAGAUAUCUCAUAACGUCAAGUUAGUAAGACCCCUUGAAGACGACGAGGUAGAUAGGGCAGAGGUGGAAGUGUGGUAACACAUGGAGCUGACUGUUACUAAUAGGUCGAGGGCAUAACCG